AUUGAACGCUGGCGGAAUGCUUUACACAUGCAAGUCGAACGGCAGCACGGACUUCGGUCUGGUGGCGAGUGGCGAACGGGUGAGUAAUGUAUCGGAACGUGCCCAGUCGUGGGGGAUAACGUAGUGAAAAUUACGCUAAUACCGCAUACGAUCUAUGGAUGAAAGCGGGGGAUCGCAAGACCUCGCGCGAUUGGAGCGGCCGAUAUCAGAUUAGGUAGUUGGUGGGGUAAAGGCCCACCAAGCCAACGAUCUGUAGCUGGUCUGAGAGGACGACCAGCCCCACUGGAACUGAGACACGGGCCAGAGUCCUACGGGAGGCAGCAGUGGGGAAUUUUGGACAAUGGGCGAAAGCCUGAUCCAGCCAUUCCGCGUGCAGGAUGACGGCCCUCGGGUUGUAAACUGCUUUUGUACAGAACGAAAAGGUUUCUACUAAUACUAGGAGCUCAUGACGGUACUGUAAGAAUAAGCACCGGCUAACUACGUGCCAGCCGCCGCCGUAA
rnacentral:rRNA from 1 species